CCGCCCGUCACAUCACGAAAGUUGUCUGUACCGGAAGCCGGUGGGCUAACUCGCAAGAGAGGCAGCCGUCCAUGGUAUGGAGAGCGAUUGGGGUG
rnacentral:rRNA from 1 species